GCAUCCAUCAGCUACCGGCUACAACAUCUGUGACCCCAUUGGUAGCCAGGGUUGAUUAGGCUGAUCUGGCUGGCUAGGCGGGAGUCCCCUUCCUCCCUCAUUUCUCCAUGUUCGACCCUCCCUAAGCUAUGUGCUAGGUCUAAGAGGAUGACCUUUCCCAAAUAGAGGAGGACAGGUCUUCUGUCAAUGGUAUAUGAGUAGCUACACUCCCCUGCUAGAACCUCCAAACAAGCUCUUUCUCCUAGAUUGCUAAAUGAUGUUCUCUCACCAUAAGUAAUUGAGUGCUGCUGGAAAAAAAUAUGAGCAUACACACUGUACUUCAUACAGUGUUUGUUUCUGC
ensembl:misc_RNA 7SK 7SK RNA